rnacentral:rRNA from 1 species
UUUGAUCCUGGCUCAGGACGAACGCUGGCGGCGUGCUUAACACAUGCAAGUCGAACGAUGAAGCCUUUCGGGGUGGAUUAGUGGCGAACGGGUGAGUAACACGUGGGCAAUCUGCCCUUCACUCUGGGACAAGCCCUGGAAACGGGGUCUAAUACCGGAUAACACUCUGUCCCGCAUGGGACGGGGUUAAAAGCUCCGGCGGUGAAGGAUGAGCCCGCGGCCUAUCAGCUUGUUGGUGGGGUAAUGGCCUACCAAGGCGACGACGGGUAGCCGGCCUGAGAGGGCGACCGGCCACACUGGGACUGAGACACGGCCCAGACUCCUACGGGAGGCAGCAGUGGGGAAUAUUGCACAAUGGGCGAAAGCCUGAUGCAGCGACGCCGCGUGAGGGAUGACGGCCUUCGGGUUGUAAACCUCUUUCAGCAGGGAAGAAGCGAAAGUGACGGUACCUGCAGAAGAAGCGCCGGCUAACUACGUGCCAGCAGCCGCGGUAAUACGUAGGGCGCAAGCGUUGUCCGGAAUUAUUGGGCGUAAAGAGCUCGUAGGCGGCUUGUCACGUCGGAUGUGAAAGCCCGGGGCUUAACCCCGGGUCUGCAUUCGAUACGGGCUAGCUAGAGUGUGGUAGGGGAGAUCGGAAUUCCUGGUGUAGCGGUGAAAUGCGCAGAUAUCAGGAGGAACACCGGUGGCGAAGGCGGAUNUNUNGGCCAUUAC